rnacentral:rRNA from 1 species
CGUGCCAGCAGCCGCGGUAAGACGUAGGACGCGAGCGUUAUCCGGAUUUGCUGGGCGUAAAGCGUGUGUAGGCGGCGUGACAAGUUGGGCGUGAAAGCCCCGUGCUCAACGCGGGGAGGCCGCACAAUACUGUCAGGCUAGAGGGCAUCAGAGGGGUGUGGAAUUCCCGGAGUAGCGGUAAAAUGCGCAGAUAUCGGGAGGAACACCGGUGGCGAAAGCGGCACCCUGGGGUGCACCUGACGCUGAGAGACGACAGCUAGGGGAGCGAACAGGAUUAGAGACCCUGGUAGUCCUAGCCGUAAACGAUGGAUGCUAGGUGUGGGAGUGAAGAACUUCUGUGCCGCAGCGAACGCGAUAAGCAUCCCGCCUGGGGAGUACGGCCGCAAGGUUAAAACUCAAACGAAUUGACGGGGACCCGCACAAGCAGCGGAGCGUGUGGUUUAAUUCGAUGCUACACGAAGAACCUUACCUGGGAUUGACAUAUGGGUGGUAGUGAGCCGAAAGGCAAGCGACCCUUCGGGGAGCCUAUACAGGUGCUGCAUGGCUGUCGUCAGCUCGUGCCGUGAGGUGUCGGGUUAAGUCCCGUAACGAGCGCAACCCCUGUCCUUAGUUACAAGUGUCUAAGGGGACUGCCGGCGGGAAGCCGGAGGAAGGUGGGGAUGACGUCAAGUCAGCAUGGCCCUUAUAUCCAGGGCGACACACACGCUACAAUGGUCGGUACAGAGGGCAGCGAAGCCGCGAGGUGGAGCGAAACCCAGAAAGCCGGUCGUAGUUCGGAUUGCAGGCUGCAACUCGCCUGCAUGAAGUUGGAG